GGUUCUGAGUGCCAGCGCACAGCCCCGGCUUGCUGGCCGGCAACCCUCCAACCGCGGUGGGGUGCCCCGGGUGACGACCAGGUUGAGUAGCCGAUCUCGGCUAUAAGGCAAGCGCGGGUC
rfam:Mycobacterium chubuense strain DSM 44219 MCHTDSM44219_contig000039, whole genome shotgun sequence.